GCAACGGCCCACAGGGCGAGGCGCAGCAGUACUCGGCUACGAACCGAGCGGUCGGAGGUUCGAAUCCUCCCGGAUGCACCA
rnacentral:tRNA from 1 species